GACGAACGCUGGCGGCGUGCUUAACACAUGCAAGUCGAACGGAAAGGCCCUGCUUUUGUGGGGUGCUCGAGUGGCGAACGGGUGAGUAACACGUGAGUAACCUGCCCUUGACUUUGGGAUAACUUCAGGAAACUGGGGCUAAUACCGGAUAGGAGCUCCUGCUGCAUGGUGGGGGUUGGAAAGUUUCGGCGGUUGGGGAUGGACUCGCGGCUUAUCAGCUUGUUGGUGGGGUAGUGGCUUACCAAGGCUUUGACGGGUAGCCGGCCUGAGAGGGCGACCGGCCACAUUGGGACUGAGAUACGGCCCAGACUCCUACGGGAGGCAGCAGUGGGGAAUAUUGCACAAUGGGCGGAAGCCUGAUGCAGCAACGCCGCGUGCGGGAUGACGGCCUUCGGGUUGUAAACCGCUUUCGCCUGUGACGAAGCGUGAGUGACGGUAAUGGGUAAAGAAGCACCGGCUAACUACGUGCCAGCAGCCGCGGUGAUACGUAGGGUGCGAGCGUUGUCCGGAUUUAUUAGGCGUAAAGGGCUCGUAGGUGGUUGAUCGCGUCGGAAGUGUAAUCUUGGGGCUUAACCCUGAGCGUGCUUUCGAUACGGGUUGACUUGAGGAAGGUAGGGGAGAAUGGAAUUCCUGGUGGAGCGGUGGAAUGCGCAGAUAUCAGGAGGAACACCAGUGGCGAAGGCGGUUCUCUGGGCCUUUCCUGACGCUGAGGAGCGAAAGCGUGGGGAGCGAACAGGCUUAGAUACCCUGGUAGUCCACGCUGUAAACGGUGGGUACUAGGUGUGGGGUCCAUUCCACGGGUUCCGUGCCGUAGCUAACGCUUUAAGUACCCCGCCUGGGGAGUACGGCCGCAAGGCUAAAACUCAAAGGAAUUGACGGGGCCCCGCACAAGCGGCGGAGCAUGCGGAUUAAUUCGAUGCAACGCGUAGAACCUUACCUGGGUUUGACAUGGAUCGGGAGUGCUCAGAGAUGGGUGUGCCUCUUUUGGGGUCGGUUCACAGGUGGUGCAUGGCUGUCGUCAGCUCGUGUCGUGAGAUGUUGGGUUAAGUCCCGCAACGAGCGCAACCCUUGUUCACUGUUGCCAGCACGUUAUGGUGGGGACUCAGUGGAGACCGCCGGGGUCAACUCGGAGGAAGGUGGGGAUGACGUCAAGUCAUCAUGCCCCUUAUGUCCAGGGCUUCACGCAUGCUACAAUGGCUGGUACAGAGAGUGGCGAGCCUGUGAGGGUGAGCGAAUCUCGGAAAGCCGGUCUCAGUUCGGAUUGGGGUCUGCAACUCGACCUCAUGAAGUCGGAGUCGCUAGUAAUCGCAGAUCAGCAACGCUGCGGUGAAUACGUUCCCGGG
rnacentral:rRNA from 1 species